GUUCCAAGGUUUUAGUGUUGUUUUCCACACCCUCGAAGACCAGCGCCAGCUGGUAGCGAGGGCUGUCGACGCAGCGAAAGCCUAAGGUUUCCUGGAAUGGGGAGACCACCCCAAAGACGAUGCCUAAAUGAAAAUCAAAUAAAGAUGUUUAUUCUCUC
rnacentral:lncRNA from 1 species